rnacentral:rRNA from 1 species
AUUGAACGCUGGCGGCAUGCCUUACACAUGCAAGUCGAACGGCAGCACGGGUGCUUGCACCUGGUGGCGAGUGGCGAACGGGUGAGUAAUACAUCGGAACGUACCUUAUCGUGGGGGAUAACGCAGCGAAAGCUGUGCUAAUACCGCAUACGCCCUGAGGGGGAAAGCGGGGGAUCGCAGGACCUCGCGCGAUUAGAGCGGCCGAUGCCUGAUUAGCUUGUUGGUGGGGUAAAAGCCCACCAAGGCGACGAUCAGUAGCUGGUCUGAGAGGACGAUCAGCCACACUGGGACUGAGACACGGCCCAGACUCCUACGGGAGGCAGCAGUGGGGAAUUUUGGACAAUGGGGGCAACCCUGAUCCAGCAAUGCCGCGUGAGUGAAGAAGGCCUUCGGGUUGUAAAGCUCUUUUGUCAGGGAAGAAACACCGGCUCUAACACAGUCCGGGAAUGACGGUACCUGAAGAAUAAGCAUCGGCUAACUACGUGCCAGCAGCCGCCGUAA